rnacentral:misc_RNA from 1 species
UUUCCGUCGGUGAACCUGCGGAAGGAUCACUAAUAGGAUUGAGUGUGAGUGAGGGAUGGGGGAGUGUAUGGGGGGGAUGUUGGUGGAGGUGGAUAUGUGAGUGGUAAAAUAAAAGUGAUAGUAUGAAAGUGAUAGUAUGAAAGUGAUAGUAUAAAGGUGAUAGUAUAAAAGUACUAGCAUGUUUGUAUCAUCACUCCCAUUUUACCAUCAACAUGUUAUCACUAACACACUACCAUCCAUCACCAUCCCCAUGACACACCCAUCUGCCUUUCACCAGCUUGAUUGUCUGACUGUAUGUGAUGAAUGAAGAAUGACAACUUUUAACAAUGGAUCUCUUGGCUCUU